rnacentral:rRNA from 1 species
AUUGAACGCUGGCGGCAUGCCUAACACAUGCAAGUCGAACGAGCGGCGGACGGGUGAGUAAUGUCUUGGAAACUGCCUGAUGUAGGGGGAUAACUACUGGAAACGGUAGCUAAUACCGCAUACCAUCAGAUGUGCCCAGAUGGGAUUAGCUAGUUGGUGGGGUAACGGCUCACCUAGGCGACGAUGCCUAGCUGGUCUGAGAGGAUGACCGGCCAAACUGGAACUGAGACAAGGUCCAGACUCCUACGGGAGGCAGCAGUGGGGAAUAUUGUACAAUGGGCGAAAGCCUGACGGAGCCAUGCCGCGUGUGUGAAGAAGGUUUUCGGGUUGUAAAGUACUUUAAUCGGGGAGGCGUUAUCCUCACAAGAAGCAACGGCUAACUCCGUGCCAGCAGCCGCGGUAAUAC